rnacentral:rRNA from 1 species
AGAAUCAACGCUGGCGGCGUGCCUAACACAUGCAAGUCGAACGAGAAAGUGGAGCAAUCCAUGAGUAAAGUGGCGCACGGGUGAGUAACACGUGACUAACCUACCCUUGAGUGGGGGAUAACCUAGGGAAACCUGGGCUAAUACCGCAUAAUACCUUCGGGUCAAAGGAGCAAUUCGCUUAAGGAGGGGGUCGCGGCCGAUUAGUUAGUUGGCGGGGUAAUGGCCCACCAAGACUGUGAUCGGUAUCCGGCCUGAGAGGACGACCAGCCACACUGGAACUGAGACACGGUCCAGACACCUACGGGUGGCAGCAGUCGAGAAUUUUCACAAUGGACGAAA